rnacentral:rRNA from 1 species
CUACGGGAUGCUGCAGUGGGGAAUAUUGCACAAUGGGGGAAACCCUGAUGCAGCAACGCCGCGUGGAGGAUGACACCUUUCGGUGCGUAAACUCCUUUUAUAGGUCAAGAUAAUGACGGUAGCCUAUGAAUAAGCGCCGGCUAACUCCGCGCCAGCAGCCGCGGUAAUACGGAGGGCGCAAGCGUUACUCGGAAUCACUGGGCGUAAAGAGCAUGUAGGCGGGUUAAUAAGUCAGAAGUGAGAUCCAAUAGCUCAACUAUUGAACUGCUUUUGAAACUGUUAACCUAGAGUGUGGGAGAGGUAGAGGGAAUUUCUGGUGUAGGGGUGAAAUCCGUAGAGAUCAGAAGGAAUACCGAUUGCGAAGGCGAUCUACUGGAACAUUACUGACGCUGAGAUGCGAAAGCGUGGGGAGCAAACAGGAUUAGAUACCCUUGUAGUC